rnacentral:rRNA from 1 species
UACGUAGGGGGCAAGCGUUGUCCGGAUUUAUUGGGCGUAAAGCGCGCGUAGGCGGCAAGGUAUGUCGUGCGUGAAAUCUCCCGGCUCAACUGGGAGGCUGCCGUGGAAACUGCCGUGCUUGAGUGUGGGAGAGGUGAGUGGAAUUCCCGGUGUAGCGGUGAAAUGCGUAGAUAUCGUAAGGAAGACCAGUGGCGAAGGCGGGUCUCUGGACAGUUCCUGACGCUGAGGCACGAAGGUCAGGGGAGCAAACGGG